rnacentral:misc_RNA from 1 species
CUUUUACUCUUUUAAAAUGAACAUAAUAAUAUUAUAAUUUUAGGUGCAAAAAUUGAAAUUUGAAUUGAAAUUGAAACAAAAAAAUUGAAAUCAAAAUGGAACUGAAACUAGAAAUGGAACUAUACUGAAAUUACUUAGAACUGAAUCAGAACCAAAACGAAGGUUACAUCCAAUUUACGUUCCUAAAAAUCAAAGAACUAGAGAUUUAGUUUCCAUUUUGAUGCCUAGGUAGAUUUGAACUCAAAAUCAGAAUUGAAAACCUCUACUAUUAGUAACAAUGCAGAGAUUGCUACAAUGUAAAAAAGAGAAAAGACAAUUACAAGAGAUCUUGGAGUUUGGUAAAAAUUAUAUGUCAGUCUUUUUUCUAUAUAAUCGGCUUUGACACUUGAGACCUCAUAGUUUUGAAGAUGACUCCAAUACCACUAUGUUAAAGCUCAUUUAUAAUUAUAUGUCAAUCUUUGUUGUUUGAAAAUAUAAAAAUUUUUUGUUUAAAAUUUAAUUUUGCCAGUCUUUGGUUGAUGGCUACUAGUAGACUUCUCUCCGAUCAAGAAAGGUAUUGCAUACAUCUUAGUCUUUUUGCUGCAUGUGAUUUAUGUAUGGCUCCAAUUGAGUCUUUGGAGCAUAUUUUUAGAGAUUGCCCUAUUUGUAGUAAAUUUCUAAGUGGUUCUACGUUGAUGAGGGAUUGGUUCUUCGAGAACAUUAGUUGUGUUUUAGCUUUGGCUUGGGAUGUCCCUUGGAAUGCUUAUUUUGGAACUAUUUGUUGGUGGGUGCAGAAGCGCUAGAAUAAGAGAAUUUCUCUAAUGAGACUAUGCUAGCAGAUAAUUUUAUUUCUUUUGUGUUGAGCCAAGGUCGAAGAGAUGAGGAAGGUGGUUGGGCAAAAUAGUAUGUUGUAAGCAUGUAGAAAGGUUGAUAGGUGGGAAACCUCCUAAGUUGGGUUAGGAAAUUCUUAAUGUUGAUGGGUCGGUUAAAGGAAAUGCUAGAUUGGCUUGUGGAGGUGGUUAACCAUAGUGGGAAUUAGUGGGAUGGCUUUAUAUGUCACAAAGGAACUUGUUUAGCUCUACAUGCUGAGCUUUGGGUGAUUCUAGAAGGGCUUUAGUUGGCUUAUAGGAGAGCAUGUAGGAAGCUGGUGGUUGAAUGUGACAAUUUAGAAGCUGUUGCCAUUGUUAGAGGUACCUCUACCCUUUUGCUCACUCUCUUUCAUUAAUUAAUAGGAUUUUGGGCUUGGUUAGGGAAGACUGGGAAGUAGUCUUUGAGCAUGUGUAUAGGGAAGCUAAGAAAUAUGCGGAUUGGCUUGCGAAUUGGGCAGCAUCCAUGGAUUUGAGUGUGAAUUAUUUGUGUUAGCCUCUAGAGGGUGUUAUGCAAUGAAUUCUCCAUGAUAAAGCAAAUGUGUCUACCCUUAGAGUAAUUCCUUGUGUGCUGGUUAGGGCUAUAUGCUCUCUCU